GUAAUAUGCAUAUUUGUCCACUAUUAGUGGAUAAAAUGAGUUCUGAUACAGAAACUGUCACAUGAUUUUAUGUCUAUCGAGAAACUAAUUUAAUGAACUGAUUGAGACACUGUACUUUUAUUUAUUAAGGAACACGGAGUACACAAAUGCAAAAGAAAAUCUCUCACUUAUCUGAAGAGAUCUUAGUUGAACUGGACAAAACAACACUUACAUGAUUGAUAGGCAAUAACAAUACCUAUCCUUUUAUUUAAAUGAACAUAACGUAAAAAAGUAACAUUGAACUCGUGCACUUAACCACUGUAGUCAGGAUUUCUCCCGUAUUGAGGGACAACAAGAAGAUCAAGAAUUUCAGUCUCGAUCUCAUCAUCAGCAAUACUGGUCAAUGUGAAACCCUCUGACCAAUCGAUGUUACCUAAGAGUUCGUAAUAGAAAUCUUAAUCAUAAAUGAAUAUAUUAAAAUAAGAAUUAUAUAUAAAUGAUAUUCAACUCAAGUUAGCAUAAAAACCUGCGCAAGGAAAUUCCAUGUUCUUCAAAUAAAAAGGAUCUGCUUCUGGCGAGUUCUUGCUUCUGUUUUGAUAUAAUUAAUAUACAUGUGUAGCAUAAAUAUAUAUAGAAUGUAGUAACC
rnacentral:lncRNA from 1 species